rnacentral:rRNA from 1 species
AUUGAACGCUGGCGGCAGGCCUAACACAUGCAAGUCGAGCGGAUGAAGGGAGCUUGCUCCUGGAUUCAGCGGCGGACGGGUGAGUAAUGCCUAGGAAUCUGCCUGGUAGUGGGGGAUAGCGUCCGGAAACGGGCGCUAAUACCGCAUACGUCCUGAGGGAGAAAGUGGGGGAUCUUCGGACCUCACGCUAUCAGAUGAGCCUAGGUCGGAUUAGCUAGUUGGUGGGGUAAAGGCCUACCAAGGCGACGAUCCGUAACUGGUCUGAGAGGAUGAUCAGUCACACUGGAACUGAGACACGGUCCAGACUCCUAUGGGAGGCAGCAGUGGGGAAUAUUGGACAAUGGGCGAAAGCCUGAUCCAGCCAUGCCGCGUGUGUGAAGAAGGUCUUCGGAUUGUAAAGCACUUUAAGUUGGGAGGAAGGGCAGUAAGUUAAUACCUUGCUGUUUUGACGUUACCAACAGAAUAAGCACCGGCUAACUUCGUG